UACGGGGGGAGCAAGCGUUGUUCGGAUUUACUGGGCGUAAAGGGCGCGUAGGCGGCCACCGCAAGUCGACUGUGAAAUCUCCGGGCUUAACCCGGAAAGGUCAGCCGAUACUGCGGGGCUAGAGUGCAGAAGGGGCAACUGGAAUUCUCGGUGUAGCGGUGAAAUGCGUAGAUAUCGAGAGGAACACCUGCGGCGAAGGCGGGUUGCUGGGCUGACACUGACGCUGAGGCGCGAAAACUAGGGGAGCGAACGGG
rnacentral:rRNA from 1 species